rnacentral:misc_RNA from 1 species
UCUCGGCUUAUCACCGGCAGUCCCCCUAGAGUGCCCAACUAAAUGCUGGCAACUAAGAUCAAGGGUUGCGCUCGUUGCGGGACUUAACCCAACAUCUCACGACACGAGCUGACGACAACCAUGCACCACCUGUCACCGCUGUCCCCGAAGGGAAAGGUAUAUCUCUAUACCGGUCAGCGGGAUGUCAAGACCUGGUAAGGUUCUUCGCGUUGCUUCGAAUUAAACCACAUGCUCCACCGCUUGUGCGGGCCCCCGUCAAUUCCUUUGAGUUUCAGCCUUGCGGCCGUACUCCCCAGGCGGAGUGCUUAAUGCGUUAGCUGCAGCACUGAGGGGCGGAAACCCCCCAACACUUAGCACUCAUCGUUUACGGCGUGGACUAC